rnacentral:miRNA from 1 species
AAAAUGCACCUUAACUGCGGAGA